GGAUAGUGGUGUUUACGGCUACGAGAGUUUUGCCCAAGCAAAACUCUAAGAUGAACAAUGUACAAGGAUGUAUGUUUUUCAU
rnacentral:sRNA from 1 species